CAAUGUGUCAAUAUCUUGAUCAGGUUUCUUCAGUGUCAAGAUCAGGUGUGUCAAUUUCAGAUCAGGUGUCAAUGUCCAGAUCACGUGUCAAUGUGUCAAUAUCUUGAUCAGGUUUCUUCAGUGUCAAGAUCAGGUGUGUCAAUGUCUAGAUCAGGUGUCAAUGUCCAGAUCAGGUGUGUCAAUGUCUUGAUCAGGUGUCAAUGUCCAGAUCAGGUGUCAAUAUCCAGAUCAUGUGUGUCAAUGUCAGAUCAGGUGUCAAUGUCAGAUCAGGUGUGUUAAUGUCCAGAUCAGGUGUGUCAAUGUCAGAUCAGGUGUCAAUGUCCAGAUCAGGUGUGUCAAUGUCAGAUCAGGUGUCAAUGUCCAGAUCAGGUGUGUCAAUGUCCAGAUCAGGUGUGUCAAUGUCCAGAUCAGGUGUGUCAAUGUCCAGAUCAGGUGUGUCAAUGUCUUGAUCAGGUGUCAAUGUCCAGAUCAGGUGUGUCAAUGUCCAGAUCAGGUGUCAAUGUCUAGAUCAGGUGUGUUAAUGUCCAGAUCAGGUGUGUCAAUGUCCAGAUCAGGUGUGUCAAUGUCCAGAUCAGGUGUCAAUGUCCAGAUCAGAUGUGUCAAUGUCCAGAUCAGGUGUGUCAAUGUCCAGAUCAGGUGUGUCAAUGUCCAGAUCAGGUGUGUCAAUGUCCAGAUCAGGUGUGUCAAUGUCCAGAUCAGGUGUGUCAAUGUCGAAACCUGUGGGUUUUUUUUAAGAUUAUACCCACUUGGUGGGGCAGGGUAUUACUGGUAUGCCCCACUAGGAAGUCGUCUGAGGCAUAUACUUCCAUCUGUUUGUCUGUCCACAAAUUCUGUUAGAAUUUAUUCAGAGUUUGCUAUUUAAUCUUUACCAUAAUGAUGCUGAUUUUAUUGCUGUGCAGUUGAAAUAGAUUUUUUUAACUUUGAGUUUGGUUUAAUUUUGAGUUUAGCUCCAUUUCUGUCAAAUUGGAAGCAAGGGUAUUCAUGUUUCACAUAUUUAAACAUCCUCUUGUUUCUCCUGUCAAAGUGGAAGCAAGGGUUUUCACCUAAACAUCAUCUAGUUUUAGUACCACAGGGUCUUGUCACAGAUUCCCAUUAGACUGUAUAUUUGUACUGUAUUAUGAUACAUAUGUAAUCUGGGUUAGGAACCAAGUCCCUGUGAUCAAUACCAAACAGCACAGACCAUAGUGAAUCUAACCUCCACACACUUCUACCUGGUGUACUGUUACCACAUGUUUGACAUACAUCUUGUGUGUUCGGGGACGCAUAAUUGAUAUAUAUCUCGGUGUUUGGGGACGCAUGUUUGACAUAUAUCUUGUGUGUUUGGGGACAAAUGCUGUUUACUUGCUUCAACUGUGAUAUUACUGUAACGCACAUCUCACAUUUUAAUGUCAUAGGUUUCUUUGCUGCUAAUGUCCCAAAUAUGUUGGUAACGUACAUAUUGUCAGUUUUGCUGACCAUCGGUCAUCUUCAGGACUCCAUUAUGUACUGUAGAGAAGUUGGUAGUCAUUACCUAUAUCACCUACUGUAGACUAAGUAUGUAUUAUGAUUUACCAUAAUGAUUCUUUCAUUCAAAGAAAGAAUGAAUCGUGUGUUUACCUACAUGGGCCCAGUUGUUCAAAACGUGAUUAGCUUAAUCACUUGAUUAGUUAAAAUCUCACUUCUCCUUCACUUUAAAACCUGUGUAGGUAUAUUCCUAAAAUAGACAAGUAGGGAGAGACUGACAAGUGCUAAGAGUUCCAUUAAAUUUUGUCAAGAAAGUUUUACCAGAAAUGAUUUUAUCUGGAUUUUUAAAUUGUUAUCAAACUGUGAUUAGCAUAAUCACCCUUUGAAUAAAUGGGCCAUGGUCUUUUUUCAUCACAUAAAAAUCCGUACAUUUUCAUGCUUAUGAUAUUCACCAAUUUUUCAUGUCAUCCAACCAUGUUGUUUAAAUGACAUCAUUGGCCCAUUAUUUAUAUAUACUUAUAGCUUGUCAUGGUGACAAUAUACUGGGCUGUUUUAGACUGUACAAAUGUCUGUAUUUAUUGUCAGGGUGACAAUAUACUGGGGUAUUUUGGACUAUACAAAUGUCUGUAUUAUUGUCACGGGUGACAAUAUACCGAGAUGUUUUGGACUAUACAAAUGUCUGUAUUUAUUGUCACGGUGACAAUAUACUGGGGUAUUUUGGACUAUACAAAUGUCUCUAUUUAUUGUCAGGGUGACAAUAUACUGGGCUGUUUUGGACUACAAAUGUCUAUUUAUUGUCAGGGUGACAAUAUACUGGGCUGUUUUAGACUAUACAAAUGUCUGUAUUUAUUGUCACGGUGACAAUAUACUGGGGUAUUUUGGACUAUACAAAUGUCUCUAUUUAUUGUCAGGGUGACAAUAUACUGGGCUGUUUUGGACUACAAAUGUCUAUUUAUUGUCAGGGUGACAAUAUACUGGGCUGUUUUAGACUAUACAAAUGUCUGUAUUUAUUGUCACGGUGACAAUAUACUGGGGUAUUUUGGACUAUACAAAUGUCUAUUUAUUGUCGGGGUGACAAUAAACUGGGGUGUUUUGGACUAUACAAAUGUCUAUUUAUUGUCAGGGUGACAAUAUACUGGGCUGUUUUGGACUAUACAAAUGUCUAUUUAUUGUCACGGUGACAAUAUACUGGGGUAUUUUGGACUAUACAAAUGUCUGUAUUUAUUGUCAGGGUGACAAUAUACUGGGCUGUUUUGGACUAUACAAAUGUCUAUUUAUUGUCACGGUGACAAUAUACUGGGGUAUUUUGGACUAUACAAAUGUCUGUAUUUAUUGUCAGGGUGACAAUAUACCGAGAUGUUUUGGACUAUACAAAUGUCUGUAUUUAUUGUCAGGGUGACAAUAUACUGGGCUGUUUUGGACUAUACAAAUGUCUAUUUAUUGUCACGGUGACAAUAUACUGGGGUAUUUUGGACUAUACAAAUGUUUGUAUUUAUUGUCAGGGUGACAAUAUACCGAGAUGUUUUGGACUAUACAAAUGUCUGUAUUUAUUGUCAGGGUGACAAUAUACUGGGGACUAUACAAAUGUCUAUUUAUUGUCAGGGUGACAAUAAACUGGGGUGUUUUGGACUAUACAAAUGUCUAUUUAUUGUCAGGGUGACAAUAAACUGGGGUAUUUUGGACUAUACAAAUGUCUAUUUAUUGUCACGGUGACAAUAUACCGAGAUGUUUUGGACUAUACAAAUGUCUAUUUAUUGUCAGGGUGACAAUAUACUGGGCUGUUUUGGACUAUACAAAUGUCUAUUUAUUGUCAGGGUGACAAUAUACUGGGAUGUUUUGGACUAUACAAAUGUCUAUUUAUUGUCAGGGUGACAAUAUACUGGGCUGUUUUAGACUAUACAAAUGUCUAUUUAUUGUCAGGGUGACAAUAUACCGAGAUGUUUUAGACUAUACAAAUGUCUGUAUUUAUUGUCAGGGUGACAAUAUACUGGGCUGUUUUGGACUAUACAAAUGUCUAUUUAUUGUCACGGUGACAAUAUACUGGGGUAUUUUAGACUAUACAAAUGUCUAUUUAUUGUCAGGGUGACAAUAUACUGGGCUGUUUUGGACUAUACAAAUGUCUGUAUUUAUUGUCAGGGUGACAAUAUACUGGGCUGUUUUGGACUAUACAAAUGUUUGUAUUUAUUGUCAGGGUGACAAUAUACUGGGCUGUUUUGGACUAUACAAAUGUCUGUAUUUAUUGUCAGGGUGACAAUAUACUGGGGUAUUUUAGACUAUACAAAUGUCUGUAUUUAUUGUCAGGGUGACAAUAUACUGGGGUGUUUUGGACUAUACAAAUGCCUGUAUUUAUUGUCAGGGUGACAAUAUACUGGGCUGUUUUAGACUAUACAAAUGUCUGUAUUUAUUGUCAGGGUGACAAUAUACUGGGGUAUUUUGGACUAUACAAAUGCCUGUAUUUAUUGUCAGGGUGACAAUAUACUGGGGUAUUUUGGACUAUACAAAUGCCUGUAUUUAUUGUCAGGGUGACAAUAUACUGGGGUAUUUUGGACUAUACAAAUGUCUGUAUUUAUUGUCAGGGUGACAAUAUACUGGGCUGUUUUAGACUAUACAAAUGUCUGUAUUUAUUGUCAGGGUGACAAUAUACUGGGGUAUUUGGACUAUACAAAUGUCUGUAUUUAUUGUCAGGGUGACAAUAUACUGGGGUAUUUUGGACUAUACAAAUGUUUGUAUUUAUUGUCAGGGUGACAAUAUACUGGGCUGUUUUAGACUAUACAAAUGUCUGUAUUUAUUGUCAGGGUGACAAUAUACUGGGCUGUUUUAGACUAUACAAAUGUCUGUAUUUAUUGUCACGGUGACAAUAUACCGAGAUGUUUUGGACUAUACAAAUGUCUAUUUAUUGUCAGGGUGACAAUAUACUGGGGUAUUUUGGACUAUACAAAUGUCUAUUUAUUGUCACGGUGACAAUAUACUGGGCUGUUUUAGACUAUACAAAUGUCUAUUUAUUGUCACGGUGACAAUAUACUGGGCUGUUUUAGACUAUACAAAUGUCUAUUUAUUGUCACGGUGACAAUAUACUGGGCUGUUUUAGACUAUACAAAUGUUUGUAUUUAUUGUCAGGGUGACAAUAUACUGGGCUGUUUUAGACUAUAUAAAUGUCUGUAUUUAUUGUCAGGGUGACAAUAUACUGGGCUGUUUUGGACUAUACAAAUGUUUGUAUUUAUUGUCAGGGUGACAAUAUACUGGGCUGUUUUGGACUAUACAAAUGUUUGUAUUUAUUGUCAGGGUGACAAUAUACUGGGCUGUUUUAGACUAUACAAAUGUCUGUAUUUAUUGUCAGGGUGACAAUAUACUGGGCUGUUUUAGACUAUAUAAAUGUCUGUAUUUAUUGUCAGGGUGACAAUAUACUGGGCUGUUUUGGACUAUACAAAUGUUUGUAUUUAUUGUCAGGGUGACAAUAUACUGGGCUGUUUUGGACUAUACAAAUGUUUGUAUUUAUUGUCAGGGUGACAAUAUACUGGGCUGUUUUAGACUAUACAAAUGUCUGUAUUUAUUGUCAGGGUGACAAUAUACUGGGGUGUUUUGGACUAUACAAAUGUCUGUAUUUAUUGUCAGGGUGACAAUAUACUGAGAUGUUUUGGACUAUACAAAUGUCUAUUUAUUGUCAGGGUGACAAUAUACUGGGAUGUUUUGGACUAUACAAAUGUCUAUUUAUUGUCAGGGUGACAAUAUACUGAGAUGUUUUGGACUAUACAAAUGUCUAUUUAUUGUCAGGGUGACAAUAUACCGAGAUGUUUUGGACUAUACAAAUGUCUGUAUUUAUUGUCACGGUGACAAUAUACUGGGGUAUUUUAGACUAUACAAAUGUCUGUAUUUAUUGUCACGGUGACAAUAUACUGGGUAUUUUAGACUAUACAAAUGUCUAUUUAUUGUCAGGGUGACAAUAUACUGGGCUGUUUUAGACUAUACAAAUGUCUCUAUUUAUUGUCAGGGUGACAAUAUACUGGGCUGUUUUAGACUAUACAAAUGUCUGUAUUUAUUGUCAGGGUGACAAUAUACUGGGCUGUUUGGACUAUACAAAUGUCUGUAUUUAUUGUCACGGUGACAAUAUACCGAGAUGUUUUAGACUAUACAAAUGUCUGUAUUUAUUGUCACGGUGACAAUAUACUGGGAUGUUUUGGACUAUACAAAUGUCUCUAUUUAUUGUCAGGGUGACAAUAUACUGGGGUAUUUUGGACUAUACAAAUGUCUGUAUUUAUUGUCAGGGUGACAAUAUACUGGGGUAUUUUGGACUAUACAAAUGUCUCUAUUUAUUGUCAGGGUGACAAUAUACUGGGGUAUUUUGGACUAUACAAAUGUCUCUAUUUAUUGUCACGGUGACAAUAUACUGGGGUAUUUUGGACUAUACAAAUGUCUGUAUUUAUUGUCAGGGUGACAAUAUACUGGGCUGUUUUGGACUGUACAAAUGUCUAUUUAUUGUCAGGGUGACAAUAUACUGGGCUGUUUUGGACUGUACAAAUGUCUAUUUAUUGUCAGGGUGACAAUAUACUGGGCUGUUUUGGACUAUACAAAUGUCUCUAUUUAUUGUCAGGGUGACAAUAUACUGGGGUAUUUUGGACUAUACAAAUGUCUGUAUUUAUUGUCACAUGGACAAUAUACCGAGAUGUUUUGGACUAUACAAAUGUCUGUAUUUAUUGUCAGGGUGACAAUAUACUGGGGUAUUUUGGACUAUACAAAUGUCUGUAUUUAUUGUCACGGUGACAAUAUACUGGGGUAUUUUGGACUAUACAAAUGUCUGUAUUUAUUGUCACGGUGACAAUAUACUGGGGUAUUUUGGACUAUACAAAUGUCUGUAUUUAUUGUCACGGUGACAAUAUACUGGGGUAUUUUGGACUAUACAAAUGUCUGUAUUUAUUGUCAGGGUGACAAUAUACUGGGGUAUUUUGGACUAUACAAAUGUCUGUAUUUAUUGUCAGGGUGACAAUAUACUGGGCUGUUUUAGACUAUACAAAUGUCUAUUUAUUGUCAGGGUGACAAUAUACUGGGGUAUUUUAGACUAUACAAAUGUCUAUUUAUUGUCAGGGUGACAAUAUACUGGGGUAUUUUAGACUAUACAAAUGUCUAUUUAUUGUCAGGGUGACAAUAUACUGGGGUAUUUUAGACUAUACAAAUGUCUAUUUAUUGUCAGGGUGACAAUAUACUGGGGUAUUUUAGACUAUACAAAUGUCUAUUUAUUGUCAGGGUGACAAUAUACUGGGGUAUUUUAGACUAUACAAAUGUCUAUUUAUUGUCAGGGUGACAAUAUACUGGGCUGUUUUAGACUAUACAAAUGUCUGUAUUUAUUGUCAGGGUGACAAUAUACCGAGAUGUUUUGGACUAUACAAAUGUCUGUAUUUAUUGUCAGGGUGACAAUAUACUGGGGUAUUUUGGACUAUACAAAUGUCUAUUUAUUGUCACGGUGACAAUAUACUGGGAUGUUUUGGACUAUACAAAUGUCUGUAUUUAUUGUCACGGUGACAAUAUACUGGGGUAUUUUGGACUAUACAAAUGUCUGUAUUUAUUGUCAGGGUGACAAUAUACUGGGGUAUUUGGACUAUACAAAUGUCUGUAUUUAUUGUCACGGUGACAAUAUACUGGGCUGUUUUAGACUAUACAAAUGUCUGUAUCUAUUGUCAGGGUGACAAUAUACUGGGGUAUUUGGACUAUACAAAUGUCUGUAUUUAUUGUCACGGUGACAAUAUACUGGGGUAUUUUGGACUAUACAAAUGUCUAUUUAUUGUCACGGUGACAAUAUACUGGGGUAUUUUGGACUAUACAAAUGUCUGUAUUUAUUGUCACGGUGACAAUAUACUGGGCUGUUUUAGACUAUACAAAUGUCUGUAUUUAUUGUCAGGGUGACAAUAUACUGGGGUAUUUGGACUAUACAAAUGUCUGUAUUUAUUGUCACGGUGACAAUAUACUGGGCUGUUUUAGACUAUACAAAUGUCUGUAUCUAUUGUCAGGGUGACAAUAUACUGGGGUGUUUGGACUAUACAAAUGUCUAUUUAUUGUCAGGGUGACAAUAUACUGGGAUGUUUUAGACUAUAUAAAUGUCUAUUUAUUGUCACGGUGACAAUAUACUGGGGUAUUUGGACUAUACAAAUGUCUAUUUAUUGUCACGGUGACAAUAUACUGGGGUAUUUUGGACUAUACAAAUGUCUCUAUUUAUUGUCACGGUGACAAUAUACUGGGCUGUUUUAGACUGUACAAAUGUCUAUUUAUUGUCACGGUGACAAUAUACUGGGGUAUUUGGACUAUACAAAUGUCUAUUUAUUGUCACGGUGACAAUAUACUGGGGUAUUUUGGACUAUACAAAUGUCUCUAUUUAUUGUCACGGUGACAAUAUACUGGGCUGUUUUCGACUAUACAAAUGCCUGUAUUUAUUUUGAUUUUAAAUAUUUAUUCUAUGUUUUGUUUUCCUUCUUGGUUGUGCAAAUGUAGAUUCUUGUCAAGCUCAAUAUCAACCUAACCUCAUACCAAAUGGCUUAGUGUACAGAUAUAACUUCUACAGCAAAUGUGUUCAUUUUCUAGUCCACAGACUAACAGUGUAAAAUUUGACAUUCUUCUGUGGGUCUCCCAUAAAAUGUCCCAUUUCAUCUAUUUAUUUGUGACGUCAUGUUUGAUACUAGGUUUUAUUUUCGUAUGAUUGAUUUUAUCUUCAGCACAAUAACAAUGUUUUAAAACAUUUUCUACGUGUUUUAUACAGUUGACUGAUCAUUUCAGUGUUGAUUUAAACAAAAGUUAUCUUUUAAAUUUCCUUACAAUUUUCUCACUUAUUACACACAAUCGUUUCCUGUUCGUCAUGAUUUAAUAGUUUCUCUGUGAAUACCAAGAAGACUUAUAGAUUAAUACCUGGAAGACUUAUAAUUUUAUGAGGCACAUGUACACAUUCUGAUACCCAGUCAUUAAAAGGAGAUUUUAUAUCACAUGUUAAUGAGAGGUUUUAGUGACUGGCUUAUUUCAAAAUUAUUUCAAUUUUUUGAGGGGAAUUUAAAGGCACUUUGGAGUGAAUUAACUUUUUCAGGAGCCUUUCAGAUAAUUUUUCUAUAGUCAUCUAAGUUAAGAAAUAUACAUCUUUACUUUUGGCAAUAAUUAAAUGUCUAGAAGUGUUGUUAUGGAAAUUAAUGUGGAAAUUCUUGGAUUUUUUUUUUUUUUUUUUUUAAUAUUUACCUUUUAUUUAUUUAUUUGACUUACUGUCAUAUCAAAUCUGACACUUUAAAGUUCUAACUAUGCAUUCCACACACCCCUUUGACCUUUACAAUCAUUAGAAGCCUACAAAAUGUAGCUACAUAAUUAUGUAGGACACAAUGCCAAUUGACUGCUGGAAAUAUUUUAUGUCUUUCAAAUUUUAGCUGGUAUUUGAUUUCAUCUUUUCACAGAAAAACCAAAUUUACUGGGUUUUGGAUAUGUGUGUUUUUAUGUAGGGUACAUCUGAUUUACAUUGAAAUUUCUAUUCUGUAAGAAUCAUUUCGAUUUCCAUUUAUUUAUUUUUCAUUGCCUAUAAAUUCACUAUGCAAGUUUUCUGAAAUGUUAAUCAUUGUGCGAUGGCUCUGCUGCCAGUGAGCUUGUUAUGCCAGUGGUAAAUGAAGUUGUGAUUUGUUAAAAGUUGUUGAUCUGUUCAAUGUUGUUGAAUUAGAACUGCUGAAAUGAAAAUAAACUAUUUUUAUAUAC